AAAGGGGGCUGAACUCCAGGGGUUUCAGAGGGCUAAGAACAAAGGGUCAUAUGGAAGGAAUAUAACACAACUCGAUCACGAGUCACAUGUCUGGGGAAUGAAGGAUUUGGAAGGAUUUGGAAUAGAGAGUAUAAAACAAUAUAUUUUAUAUUAUGCCCCUUGACACAUGCUUUAGUCUAACAAUGGAGAGAGAGAAGAGAGAUCUGAAAAGGAAAUGUCAAACCUCAGCUAAAUGGAUUACGAAAUACAAAUGGCUCCAUACUGAAAUGUAUGUCAACGGAAAUGUCAGAUUCCAUGAAGAAAAUGGACACAUUUCAAUGGAUAUCAAUCAACAAAGAGGUGUACAGACGAGGAGGCAUUCAAAGACUUAACCCUCCCUACACCUUUGAUGAAUAUAACAGGAAACCUGUUUGAUCACCAUACACUGCAAAAUCAUUCUGGCUGUGGAUAUGGAGAACAUCAACACAUUAACAUCAACACGCCAGAGGAUAUAACCAUUGAUAUUGGGACUGCUGGGAGUUUACCUCGUAUUUAGAUUUUUAAAAUUCUGCUUUGCCACUAAAAUCAUAAUAA